rnacentral:rRNA from 1 species
GACGAACGCUGGCGGCGUGCUUAACACAUGCAAGUCGAGCGGUAAGGCCCUUCGGGGUACACGAGCGGCGAACGGGUGAGUAACACGUGGGUGACCUGCCUCGUACUCUGGGAUAAGCCUGGGAAACUGGGUCUAAUACUGGAUAGGACCACUGGUUGCAUGACUGGUGGUGGAAAGUUUUUCGGUGCGAGAGGGGCCCGCGGCCUAUCAGCUUGUUGGUGGGGUGAUGGCUUACCAAGGCGACGACGGGUAGCCGGCCUGAGAGGGCGACCGGCCACACUGGGACUGAGACACGGCCCAGACUCCUACGGGAGGCAGCAGUGGGGAAUAUUGCACAAUGGGCGGAAGCCUGAUGCAGCGACGCCGCGUGGGGGAUGACGGCCUUCGGGUUGUAAACCUCUUUCGGCUCCGACGAAGCGUAAGUGACGGUAGGGGCAGAAGAAGCACCGGCCAACUACGUGCCAGCAGCCGCAGUAAAAC